rnacentral:rRNA from 1 species
GAGCUUGCUCUCUGGUGGCGAGUGGCGAACGGGUGAGUAAUGCAUCGGAACGUACCGAGUAAUGGGGGAUAACUGUCCGAAAGGAUGGCUAAUACCGCAUACGCCCUGAGGGGGAAAGCGGGGGAUCGAAAGACCUCGCGUUAUUUGAGCGGCCGAUGUUGGAUUAGCUAGUUGGUGGGGUAAAGGCCUACCAAGGCGACGAUCCAUAGCGGGUCUGAGAGGAUGAUCCGCCACAUUGGGACUGAGACACGGCCCAAACUCCUACGGGAGGCAGCAGUGGGGAAUUUUGGACAAUGGGGGGAACCCUGAUCCAGCCAUGCCGCGUGUCUGAAGAAGGCCUUCGGGUUGUAAAGGACUUUUGUUAGGGAAGAAAAGCCGGGUGUUAAUACCACCUGGUGCUGACGGUACCUAAAGAAUAAGCACCGGCUAACUACGUGCCAGCAGCCGCGGUAAUACGUAGGGUGCGAGCGUUAAUCGGAAUUACUGGGCGUAAAGCGAGCGCAGACGGUUAAUUAAGUCAGAUGUGAAAUCCCCGAGCUCAACUUGGGACGUGCAUUUGAAACUGGUUAACUAGAGUGUGUCAGAGGGAGGUAGAAUUCCACGUGUAGCAGUGAAAUGCGUAAAGAUGUGGAGGAAUACCGAUGGCGAAGGCAGCCUCCUGGGAUAACACUGACGUUCAUGC